AUACAUUAGAAACUAAGAAAGUCAACGCAACGAAAGUGUUUCGUUUUGAUGGAUUACGUACCAACUUAUUGUACUUGGAAAGCGCAAUGAAAGCAGAACAUUGUAAUACUACAAAUGGACAGAGGAGUUGACUAUUGAUAGUGACUGAUAAUGGACUGGAGUAACCUAGGGUCCAAUGACUCCAUGCCUGACAGUCCAUGUGUACAUAAUUAGCUCCUCAGAUGUAAGUGGAAGGGAAGCUAUAUACAUUAUAUGUUUAAAUGAAAUUAACAACAGGAUUAGAUAUUGAGGAGAUCCUAUAGCUACAGUAUAUAUAAAUGUAACUGCAACUGUAUUCCAAGAGUUUGAUGGCCGAUAAUGUAUUACAGGAUUUUAUCAUUCAAGCAACAUCUUAGAAGGAUAUGUGCAACUGUAUGAAGGAAGCCUUGGGUACAAAUAGCAAUUACAGCAAUUACAUGCAGGAGAGAACUCUUAAACAUUAAUAACAGACAUGUAGUCAUUAUAUGGGAGUGGUGUAUUCAAGAAAUCUAAAACACAUGGAAUAAAUAUUGUGUAUAUUUUUUCAACAAGUACUCUCAGAAUAUAAUACAAUUCAAAUUCAAAUUAUUGUGCCAACAUGACAA